UCUACGGGAGGCAGCAGUGGGGAAUAUUGCACAAUGGGCGCAAGCCUGAUGCAGCCAUGCCGCGUGUAUGAAGAAGGCCUUCGGGUUGUAAAGUACUUUCAGCGGGGAGGAAGGUGUUGUGGUUAAUAACCGCAGCAAUUGACGUUACCCGCAGAAGAAGCACCGGCUAACUCCGUGCCAGCAGCCGCGGUAAUACGGAGGGUGCAAGCGUUAAUCGGAAUUACUGGGCGUAAAGCGCACGCAGGCGGUCUGUUAAGUCAGAUGUGAAAUCCCCGGGCUCAACCUGGGAACUGCAUCUGAUACUGGCAGGCUUGAGUCUCGUAGAGGGGGGUAGAAUUCCAGGUGUAGCGGUGAAAUGCGUAGAGAUCUGGAGGAAUACCGGUGGCGAAGGCGGCCCCCUGGACGAAGACUGACGCUCAGGUGCGAAAGCGUGGGGAGCAAACAGGAUUAGAUACCCUAGUAGUC
rnacentral:rRNA from 1 species